rnacentral:piRNA from 1 species
UCGCGAGUAAGCAUAGGUGUGGGACUGU